GACGAACGCUGGCGGCGUGCUUAACACAUGCAAGUCGAACGGAAAGGCCCUGCUUUUGUGGGGUGCUCGAGUGGCGAACGGGUGAGUAACACGUGAGUAACCUGCCCUUGACUUUGGGAUAACUUCAGGAAACUGGGGCUAAUACCGGAUAGGAGCUCCUGCUGCAUGGUGGGGGUUGGAAAGUUUCGGCGGUUGGGGAUGGACUCGCGGCUUAUCAGCUUGUUGGUGGGGUAGUGGCUUACCAAGGCUUUGACGGGUAGCCGGCCUGAGAGGGUGACCGGCCACAUUGGGACUGAGAUACGGCCCAGACUCCUACGGGAGGCAGCAGUGGGGAAUAUUGCACAAUGGGCGGAAGCCUGAUGCAGCAACGCCGCGUGCGGGAUGACUGCCUUCGGGUUGUAAACCGCUUCCGCCUGUGACGAAGCGUGAGUGACGGUAAUGGGUAAAGAAGCACCGGCUAACUACGUGCCAGCAGCCGCGGUGAUACGUAGGGUGCGAGCGUUGUCCGGAUUUAUUGGGCGUAAAGGGCUCGUAGGUGGUUGAUCGCGUCGGAAGUGUAAUCUUGGGGCUUAACCCUGAGCGUGCUUUCGAUACGGGUUGACUUGAGGAAGGUAGGGGAGAAUGGAAUUCCUGGUGGAGCGGUGGAAUGCGCAGAUAUCAGGAGGAACACCAGUGGCGAAGGCGGUUCUCUGGGCCUUUCCUGACGCUGAGGAGCGAAAGCGUGGGGAGCGAACAGGCUUAGAUACCCUGGUAGUCCACGCUGUAAACGGUGGGUACUAGGUGUGGGGUCCAUUCCACGGGUUCCGUGCCGUAGCUAACGCUUUAAGUACCCCGCCUGGGGAGUACGGCCGCAAGGCUAAAACUCAAAGGAAUUGACGGGGCCCCGCACAAGCGGCGGAGCAUGCGGAUUAAUUCGAUGCAACGCGUAGAACCUUACCUGGGUUUGACAUGGAUCGGGAGUGCUCAGAGAUGGGUGUGCCUCUUUUGGGGUCGGUUCACAGGUGGUGCAUGCCUGUCGUCAGCUCGUGUCGUGAGAUGUUGGGUUAAGUCCCGCAACGAGCGCAACCCUUGUUCACUGUUGCCAGCACGUUAUGGUGGGGACUCAGUGGAGACCGCCGGGGUCAACUCGGAGGAAGGUGGGGAUGACGUCAAGUCCUCAUGCCCCUUAUGUCCAGGGCUUCACGCAUGCUACAAUGGCUGGUACAGAGAGUGGCGAGCCUGUGAGGGUGAGCGAAUCUCGGAAAGCCGGUCUCAGUUCGGAUUGGGGUCUGCAACUCGACCUCAUGAAGUCGGAGUCGCUAGUAAUCGCAGAUCAGCAACGCUGCGGUGAAUACGUUCCCGGGGCU
rnacentral:rRNA from 1 species